CAUUCCUACGGGGGGCAGCAGUGGGGAAUAUUGCACAAUGGGGGAAACCCUGAUGCAGCGACGCCGCGUGAGUGAAGAAGUAAUUCGUUAUGUAAAGCUCUAUCAGCAGGGAAGAAAAUGACGGUACCUGAGUAAGAAGCCACGGCUAACUACGUGCCAGCAGCCGCGGUAAUACGUAGGUGGCAAGCGUUGUCCGGAUUUACUGGGUGUAAAGGGCGUGUAGCCGGGCCGGCAAGUCAGAUGUGAAAUCCCAAGGCUCAACCUUGGAACUGCAUUUGAAACUGUUGGUCUUGAGUAUCGGAGAG
rnacentral:rRNA from 1 species